CAGCAGGCGCGCAAAUUACCCACUCCCAGCAGGGGAGGUAGUGACGAAAAAUAACAAUACGGGACUCUUUUGAGACCCCGUAAUUGGAAUGAGUACACUCUAAAUCCUUUAACGAGGAUCCAUUGGAGAGCAAGUCUGGUGCCAGCCGUCGCGGUAAUUCCAGCUCCAAUAGCGUAUAUUAAAGUUGUUGCGGUUAAAAAGCUCGUAGUUGGAUCUCAGCACCUGCCGGACGGUCCGCCUACCGGUGGUUACUGUUCGCUGCAGUGCGUUUCUGUGGCUAUGCGUGAUGAUCUUUACCGGUUGUCUCGCGUGGCCGCAAAGUUUACUUUGAAAAAAUUAGAGUGCUCAAAGCAGGCGCGACGCCUGAAUAAUUGUGCAUGGAAUAAUGGAAUAGGACCUCGGUUCUAUUUUGUUGGUUUUCGGAACACGAGGUAAUGAUUAAGAGGGACAGACGGGGGCAUUCGUAUUGCGACGCUAGAGGUGAAAUUCUUGGACCGUCGCAAGACGAACUACUGCGAAAGCAUUUGCCAAGAAUGUUUCCAUUAAUCAAGAACGAAAGUUAGAGGUUCGAAGGCGAUCAGAUACCGCCCUAGUUCUAACCAUAAACGAUGCCAGCCAGCGAUCCGGCUGUGUUCCUCAAAUGACACGCCGGGCAGCUUCCGGGAAACCAAAGCUUUUGGGUUCCGGGGGAA
rnacentral:rRNA from 1 species